ensembl:lncRNA
AAUCAAGGCGCCAUUUUUAAAGUAUUCUCAUAGCCCCUGACGCGGGUAGGACGCGUAGUGCUGAGCUUGGCCCCAUUUCACAGAGGAGGGGACUCUCUGGGUGUCUCCGCGGCAGCAGGAGGGCGCGGCCGAAGCCCCAAGCCCGGUCCUCCGCCGCCACCAACACCUUCCAGCCGGCCGGGUAUCCCCCUGCCGGCUGGGACUUUCGACUUUAUCAGCUCGACAGCAGCAAGGCCUCUGCAGAGAAGGCGAUGGCACCCCACUCCAGUACUCUUGCCUGGAAAAUCCCAUGGAUGCAGGAGCCUGCCCUGGGCUUCAGUCACCCCAGGUCCUCAGAACUCCUCGAGACCACCUACGUUUUCCAUUGUCAAGGUCAUCUACCAGCAGGAGCUCUAGACCAUGGAUCAGGGAACCAGGGCUUCCCGUUCCUGUCCUCUGAGCAGCUGUGGGGCAUUCAGCAAGUCACACUGUCCCUUUGGGCCACACAGGGGUUUAAGGAUAUUUCCUCCAAAGCCCCUUUCAGCAGCAAUUCGCGGGGAUCAAACUAGAGCAUUCAGACCAACAAGGACCUACUGUAUAGCACAGGGAACUCUGUUAACGUUACGUGGCAGCCUGGAUGCGAGGGGAAGAAUGGAUAACAUGUAUAUCUAUGGCUGAGUCCCUUCGCUGUUCACCUGAAACUGUCACAGCAUUGUUUAUCGGUUAUACCCUAAUACAAAAUAAAAAGCUUUAAAA